rnacentral:rRNA from 1 species
UACAGAGGUCCCAAGCGUUGUUCGGAUUCAUUGGGCGUAAAGGGUGCGUAGGCGGCGCGGUAAGUCGGGUGUGAAAUCUCGGGGCUUAACUCCGAAACUGCAUUCGAUACUGCUCUGCUUGAGGACUGGAGAGGAGACUGGAAUUCACGGUGUAGCAGUGAAAUGCGUAGAUAUCGUGAGGAAGACCAGUGGCGAAGGCGGGUCUCUGGACAGUUCCUGACGCUGAGGCGCGAAGGCCAGGGGAGCAAACGGG